UUAGGUGAACCUGCGGUAGGAUCAUUG
rnacentral:rRNA from 1 species